UACGGGGGGGGCAAGCGGUUGUUCGGAAUUACUGGGCGUAAAGGGCUCGUAGGCGGCCAACUAAGUCAGACGUGAAAUCCCCCGGCUUAACCCAGGGAACUGCGUCUGAUACUGGAUGGCUUGAGUUUGGGAGAGGGAUUGCGGAAUUCCAGGUGUAGCGGUGAAAUGCGUAGAUAUCGUAAGGAAGACCAGUGGCGAAGGCGGGUCUCGUGGACAGUUCCUGACGCUGAGGCACGAAGGCCAGGGGAGCAAACGGG
rnacentral:rRNA from 1 species